AACGCACCUUGCACCCUUUGGUAUUCCGAAGGGUACACCCGUUUGAGUGUCAUUGUAAUCUCACUACAACCACUUUAUUGUUGUUUGUAUGUGGACUUGGAUGUUGCCGUGUAACAAACGGCUCGUCUGAAAUGCCUGAGUGUACCCUGCUUUUGCGGCGUAUUCGGUGUGAUAAAUCUUCACCGGAGUUGACUUUCGGGUCGCGCUUGUAUCGUCGGGCUCUAUGCUUCCAACCGUCCUGACAAGACAAUCUCUGACAAUUUGACCUCAAAUCGGGUGGGACUACCCGCUGAACUUAA
rnacentral:misc_RNA from 2 species